GGGGGCGGGGAGUGGGGCCGGGCGCGCGCCGGGGCGCCCCACCCCGCCUCCGCCCCCGCCCCACGCGCCGGCGGCGCGGACCUCCUUGUCAAUGGGAGCGCGGGGCCGGGCUGCCCGCAGGACGGUCAGGUGGGCCCCCCAGCUCGCUGCCAGCGCGGCCUCUGUCCCUCUCGGGCCGGCUCUCCAUCUUGUCGCCCGUAGCCCGCCUUCUCCGUGGCUCUCCAGCCGCUGGGGCCGCAGAGCCGAGGCCGGGUUACCUCAGGAAACGCGAUGUGGUAGUGGGUCGGAAUAAACCCGCGCGCCCCAGAAUUCGCCUUGGGGGCGUAAGGACAGAUUCGGACUUUUCGUUUCCUAUGUCCACAUUUAUUGAGCACCUAAUAUGUGACACCCGAGGCUGUAAGAAGAGGAACGCAGCGGGCGGAGAAAAGCCAGAGCUUUUUCUCUGUGAGCCGCUGCCUCCAGGGCCAUAGCCGACCCUGCUCCGAGAUCCCAGCCGCCGCUCUCCGUGCAGGAGGGGUGCCCACCCUGGGGAGGCCAGGGUGCCCGGAGUGGAGGGACAGGGCUUCAAGCGACCGGGAGUUUCCAGCAAACCCCUGAUCCCUGAGCAGUUUAUUUUAAAAGCUUUUGCAAAUGUUGGACGGUUUCGUUUGGUGGAGGCCGUCUUUGCACUAAAUUCUCCUGUCCUCCCCCUUCGAAACGCACAAAAUGAAUUUUGAACAGAUUUUGGAUGAGAGGUUUUCUUCCUUUUUUCAUCUUCUGAAACAUUUCCCCCUCAUUUCUUCUCAGAUAAAGACCCAGAAACCCGGGACAGUUACUCGGUGUACAGCUAGUCAAAUACUGAGGAAACCAGUCGAUAUUUGCCAAAGAUUGGGCAUGUUCUGGGUGGUCUCAGAUUUUGAAGAAACGACUUUUUUACUGCACAAAAUAGUUUUACAAUCAGUUCCAUCAGACAGCCCCAGGGGCUCUCCUAGGGAAAGGGGCCAAUAGGCAAGGUUGCAUGGGGAUAAGAGAGGCAAGCGGCCAGUGGAAAACGGUUUUUUGUUUUUUUUUUCCUAACAGUUGGGCAUUUCUGUAGCUCUGAAAGCAAACUUGUUUGUUUCAUUUCAACGAUAGAAAAAAAACACUCCUGUUUUGGAAAUGUAACCCAGCAUAAAAAUACAUUUGCAAUGGGGAAAAAGAAAGCAGUUUAGGGCCACCCAGAAGAAAAUAUUUUUUCCCUGAUUUUUUUUUAAUUUGGUAUUUCCCAGUGUGGGUUUGCCUCAUUUUACAAAUAGCUGCCCAUGUCAAGAUGUGGGUAUGUGAUUUAAAUAUUUUAAUUUGAAUCACAUUUUACAUAGUCUAGGAAACUGACAAAAGAAUCCUAUAGAGAAUUGUUUUAUAAAGUGAAUAACUGCUUCUCUACCUACCCGCCCCUCUCAUUCUUCUUUUCUGUGCGUGUUUUUGGGGGGCUGUUAUGGGAUAAAUCUUGUUUGGCUUAAAAAUCACUAAAACGCAGCCUUUCAAAUCCAAAACAGAGAGCUUAGGUACCCAACAUUCUAUAGAAUGUAUUAUUUCCUCAAGAGGUUGCUAGGAACAGUUAUGUAGAUCUACCAGGUGCAGGGAAGCACUCCACACCCUCACCCAGGUCCUGUAUCCCUGCAAGACUGCGUUGGAAAGACUGAAGAGGCUGGAGUGCAGUGGCGCAAUCUUGGCUCACAGGAACCUCCGCCUCCCAGGUUCAAGAGAUUCUCAUGCCUCAGCCUCGCGAGUAGCUGGAAUUACAGGAAGCUAAAGAAUGAUGCGCUCCACCACAAUGAGGGACUAAACAACAAAAAGGAGGCAUGAGAUUCAGGAAGCAAAAAAGUUUUCCCAUCAUUCCUCUGGAGACAGAAGACUUUGCCAAGUGGUCCAAGCUUUGCUGAAGACCUAAGGACUUUGGGAUUGAUAGAGCUGACAAGCCAUAGCAGGACGGCUAUCCCCUGAGAGAUAGGAGAGGAGGAGAAACAGCCUGACAGGGGCCUGGAGCAGCUGGCUGGCGUCAGUAAUUUCCUGCAGGAGACUCUGCUGGCCGAGCACACAUCACCCUUCUGUUGCUCCUCUGUAUUCUCCCUUGUGCUACUAAAAUACGCUAAUGUAACUCCUGGGCUGUGCUAAGCUAAAUGCAGUUAUUUAACCUCAUUUCUAUGGAACCCAGGUCUAAAGCAGCAACAUCUAUUUGGAACAAGAUGGGGAGGAGCAAGAGUGAAUUCAUGCUCUUCUUCAUGGAGGUGGAUGUUUCUGGAAGGAGGUUUGUGAUGUCCUUUGCAGGGACAUGGAUGGAGUUGGAAGCCCUUAUCCUCAGCAAACUAAUGCAGGAACAGAAAACCAAACACUGCAUGUUCUUACUUAUAAGUGGGAACUGAAUGAUGAGAACACAUGGACACAUAAGGGGAAAUGACACACACUGGGGCCUGUCAGAGCUGAGGGGUUGUGGGGAGAGGGAGAGAAUCAGGAAUAAUGGCUAAUGUAUGCUGUGCUUAAUAUCUAGGUGAUGGGAUGAUCUGUGCAGCAAACCACCAUGGCACACGUUUACCUAUGUAACAAACCUGGACAUCCUGCACAUGUAUCCUGGAACUUAAAAUAAAAGUUGAAGAAAAAAAAAAAAGAAAAAGUUUUGUGAAGUCUGGAGGUGUAAUGGACAGACACAGGCUUAGGGUGAGGCAGGCCCAUGUUCAGAUCCUUGCUUCCUCACUAAGCUAGCAGGGAGACUGGCUAUAUCACCGAGCCUCAGUUUCCUCACCUGUACAUCUGCUGUAGAAGUGGCAUAUCAUAUGCUGUCCUGGCUGUGACCUUUGGUAGCUCAUCACUGCCCUUCUUACUGUUCUCAGGGUAAACCCCUUUCCAGGCAGAGUUGCCAAGACACCCAGUAAAAUUUGAAUUUCAGAUAAACACUGAAUAAUUUUUUAGUAUAAUGAUGCUCCAAAUAUUGCAUGGGAUAUACUUAACACUAAAAAAAAAAUCAUUGUUUGUCUGAAAUUCAGAUUUAACUGGGCAACCUGCAUUUUUAAAUAAACUUUUAAUUUUAGAAUCAUUUUAGAUUUACAGAAAAAAAUAUAAAGAUCGUACAGAGUUACCACACACCCUGCACCCAGUUUCCCCUAUAACUAAUAUCUUACGUCGAGCCAGUGCAGUGGCGCACAUUUGUAAUCCUAGCUGCUCAGGAGGCUGAGGUGGGAGUAUUGUUUGAGCCCAGGAGCUCGAGGCUGCAGUGAGCCAUGAUUGCACCAUUGCACUCCAGCCUGAGUGACGGAGUAAGAUGCCAUCUUUUAAAAAAAAAUCUUAUGCCAGUAUGAUACAUUUGUCACAAUUAAUGAACUAAGAUUGAUAUAUUAUCAUUAACUAAAGUCUAUACUUCAUUAGAUUUCCUUAGUUUUUCCCCAGUGUCCUUUUCUAUUCCAGGAUCCUGUCCAGGACACCAUAUCAUAUUUAGUUGUCAAGUCUUCCUAGUUCCUCUUGGCUGUGACAGUUUUUUAGACUUCCCUUGUUUUUGAUGACCUUGACCGUUUUGAGGAGCACUGGUCUGGGGUUUUGUAGAAUGCCCCUCAAUUCAGCCUGUCAGAUGUUUUUCUCAUGAUUAGGCUGGGGUAUUAUUUUUUUGGGAGGAAGACCACAGAGGUCAAGAGCCAUUCUCUUCACAUCUCGUUAAGGGUCUGUACUGUCCAUAUGACUUACCACUGUUGAUGUUGACCUUGAUCACCUGGCUAAGGUAGUGUUCAUCAGGUUUAGCAACUGUAUUUUCAUUUGCUAAAUCUGUAACUCGAUUCCAGGCCUGUCAGUCUUUCAUGACCAGACCUUUGCUUACUGCUGCUGCCAUUUUUCUGCUCCAACCAUAGUGAACUGCUAACAAUUCCUCUAAUGAACUAUUCUCUGUCUCUCUUACUGCCAGGCCUUAGGGCUUGCUCUUUCCUUUGCCUGGAAUGUUCCACUCCCCCACAGCCUCCCAUCCACACCUCCCCUUCACCCGAUUAACUUACUUUUCAGUUGGGCUUCAGUGUUCCGCUUAGGUCUCACUCCUUCCGGGAAGAUUUCUUGCACCCUCCUCUGCCAAGACCAGGUUAGGUGUUGCUUCUCUGCCCUGGUCCUACUGUGUUGUGAUAUUUACCAUCCUGUGGUUGUGAACUGUUUGCUUGUCUCCCUGACCCCAGUGCAUCCCUGACAUCUUACACAGUGCCUUGUUGCAACUCAAUAAAUAAUUGCUGAAUAAAUGAAUGGUUACACCAGGCACUUCAGGUAAAGCCUUUAACACACUACCUGCCUUGUAAACAGUAGAUGCUCAGUAAAUGCUUGUCUUUUUCAAUGUAGGAAAAAUAAUCUUCCCUAGAUCUGAGCAACUGUAAUAAGUUUGUGCUCGCCCGACACCCGCAACACAUGUCCCUACCUGGAGAAGAGAUUCUGGAACAGUGGUCUCCUAGGAUUCCCUGAGAGCCACAGUUACCUGUAUCAAAGUAUCAAGGAGGCCACUUAAUGACAGAGAUAUUAGGGUAAGUAGGCUACUUUCCGUCAGUUUGCAGAUUAAAAAGGCAUCUUUCUCCCAGUGGAGAAACUGAAUUAUGAACCCCUUCGCCCAGAUUUCCAUAGUUGGACGCGCUGACCCAUUAUUUUUAGUGAAAGGGACAAAGGGACCCACCUCCUUCUCUUUUUGCUGCCCAUGUGCCACACACAUGUAAAUGACAUGUGUACCUAUUGUUGCUUGUCCUUGAUGAUGAGUACACUUGUACAUUGAUAUAUUUAUUAGUGUUUUGCUUUUCACUAAUCCAGCAUAGUUGUGACCCCACCCCUGAGACCUAAAGGAAGGAGACACCUCAUAGGGGGUCUCAGGAAUCUCUGAUGAACCUUAGGACUAAUUAUAAUUCUUUCAUUUAUUAUAACUUCAUGCCAGGUAUUUUAUCUGCCUCACCUCUAAUCCUCUCAAUAACCUUGCAUGUUUUUAUUCAUCCCGUAUUACAAAUGAGAAAGCUAAGGUUUGGGUGCUUAAGAAAUUUUCCCCAAGUUUUUUUUGUGGUGGAGCCAGCUUGGAGCUAGGGCAAUAGACUUCAGAGUCUCAGCUCCAUCCUCUCCAUGGUUCAGAAAGUUCUCUAGUUCUGUAAGAGACAGCCAACAUCCCCCAAGGGCUUGUGCUCAUUGGAAUGGCUCUCGGGUCCACUCCUCCCUUUGUAUCCCCAGGUCACCUCACUAGAGCAGACCUCCAUCAGUCAGUGUUUACCCACCUUCCAGAGCCUCCUUCCUGGACUCUUGCCCCCGGAUUCCCCACCCAUAGCACUCUCACACUGCCAUCGCCCAACUCAGGAUCCCAAGAAUGCCCAUUUUCAGCCUUAUAAAUCCUUUGCCUUGCUUCCAAGACCCUAUGGUCUAUUUCUUUUCCAAGCCUUCUCUCCGUGCAUCAGAUUCUUCAUGAAACUUACACUGACUAGUCCCCCACCCAUCUCCCUUUCCUUGGAUCUUCAUGGCACCUAGGUAUGCAAGGCAUAAAGUAGUGUAGAAUGCCCUUCUGGCUUGUGUGGAACCACAGGGGAGUCCCCUGGGUUUCUAAUAUGGUUUUCCCAUCUGGAUUGACACCCCCGAAGGACAAAAACCUCUUGUUAAAAAAGUCAACUUUAUUGAGGUAUAACAUACAUACACCCUGUUUUAAGUGUUGAGUUUGAUAAGGUUUGACAAAUGUAUACACCCAGGUAACCACCGUCACAACCAAGAUAUAGAACAUUUCUAUCACCCCAGAAAUACCUCUGAGCCCCUUUGUAGUCAAUUCCUCCACCCCCGACCCAGGAAGCCACUUGUUGGAUUUCUAUUAAUAUAGAUUAGUUUUGCCUGCCGUUGAACUCCACAAAAAUGCAGUCACAAAGGGUGUAGUCUUUUGUGUCAGCCUAUUUUGGUUAGCACGAUAUUUUAAAGAUUCCUCCAUACUGUUUAUUACUUUCUUCUUGCUGAGUAGUAUUCUAUGGUAGAGACUAUACUACAACUUGAUUGUCCAUGUUGACUAAAUUUGAGGCUGUUUCACAUUUUUGGCUAUUGUGAAUAAAGUAGCUAUGAAUGUUUACACACAAGCCUUUUGUGAAUGUGUUUUCAUUUCUU
rnacentral:lncRNA from 10 species